AGUGAACGCUGGCGGUAGGCCUAAUACAUGCAAGUCGAACGGCAGCACAGUAAGCGCUUUUUUUUACGGGUGGCGAGUGGCGGACGGGUGAGGCAUACAUCAGAUUCUACUUUUUCGUGGAGGACAUCGGGGGGACAGAUCUGCUAAUAGAUCAUACGUCGUACGGCAGAGAUCAAGGGAUCAACAGAGCCUUGGCGUUUGAAUGAGCCGGUGCCGGGUUAGAUUAUUGGCGGGGUAAAGUCACACCAAGGCGACGAUCCAUAGCUGGUCUGAGAGGAUGAUCAGCCACACUGGAACUGGGACACGGUCCAGACUCCUACGGGAGGCAGCAGUGGGGAAUAUUCGACAAUGGGCGAAAGCCUGACGGAGCAACGCCGCGUGAGUGAUGAAGGUCUUCGGAUCGUAAAACUCUGUUAUUAGGGAAGAACAUAUGUGUAAGUAACUGUGCACAUCUUGACGGUACCUAAUCAGAAAGCCACGGCUAACUACGUG
rnacentral:rRNA from 1 species